AUAGUAAACUGUGGGAAGAGGCCUUGUAUCUCUUUGAAUGUUAUAUAAAUACUGAACUAGGAGAUUAUUAACUGGUUUCAAUAACAAAAAUCUUUGUAGUAAGCUAGUUUUUUUAAAAAUGAAAACUUUGGAUUAAACGCCUUCAGCUAGACUAAGAAAGUAAUGCUGUUUUUAGUACCUACCUAGGAUAUGCCUCUUACUAGUAGUGUAACUUAGUCCUUUGUAUUUUUAUAUGUUCAGAAAUCGGGGGCCAAAAAUGGAGACUAGAAACCAGAGGUACAGACGUGAAAUGACACAAGGCUGUUCUCCACGAGGAGAUAGAUGUACAUGGUUACCAGUCUGAUUAGGGAGGCAGACUCAAGUAUGUGCAGUUGGGAGCUGAACUCCUAUAUUAGCAUUCACAUCAGGAGCACCCCUGGAGAAGGAAAUGGCCACUCACUCCAGUAUUCCUGCCUGCAGAAUCCCGUGGACAGAAGAGCCUGGCAGGUUACUACAAUCCACGGGGUCGCGGGAGUCAGACACGACUAAGCGACUACACCACCGCCACCAGGAGCACCCCAGUCAAAGGGACAAUAGUGGAAAGCAAAAGGGCUUCCAGAAACUCCCAAGAGGCUUCCUUCAGCUUACUGGCUAUAACUGCUCAACAUGCCAUGCUGAGCUGCAAGCAACUAGGAUAUUAUGAAGAGGACUGUCAUGAUGGCCUUAGCCCAAUUAUGAUCCACCAGCUGCAGCUGAGCACACGGCUUAUCCUACCAAUUAGGCAAGAAGGAGGUACUGGUGAGUAAUAAUAAAAUGAAAAUUAAAGAAUUAUAAGCUGCUGAACCGAUUAUUUGACAAUUCUGUUUCUCUAGCUGGUUUUGCUUCCUCAUUCCUACUCAAACCAUGUAAAAACUUCACGUUAAAUCUUUGAGGCACUUGACAGUUCACCACACUCUUGCCUGCAUCCUUUCCUCUCACCAAACUCUUGGGUGCCCACGCUGAUAUAUCUGACCUGACCUGUCUUCUGGUUCACAUGGAUUAUUAUACCAUCUUUAUAGGUUCUUUUUCCGUGGCAGCUGCCUCUUUUGUAGCCCUUUCUGACUCUCCAACCCAGAACUCUCUCUUCAGAACCACGUGGUACUCGUAACUCACCAGACACUGGGGUUCAGGGCUUUACAUAUACGUACAUGAAAUACUAAUGAGGGAGUGUACACAACCAAGUAAGUAGUUACCCAGUCCUCCUAUAGAAACAGAACCUCUGAUGAGUAGAUUGAUUCCUUCAACACAGUAGUAGGCAAAACUACAUGUCAGACACCAAACUACACAUUGAAUUGGUAAGCAAGAGAAGGUACUGGACUUCAAGAUGCUAUGGUGUAAAAUUAGGUUAACUUAAGUUGCAUAUACACUACUUUUUUAGACUGCUAAAUGC
ensembl:lncRNA